rnacentral:rRNA from 1 species
AUUGAACGCUGGCGGCAUGCCUUACACAUGCAAGUCGAACGGCAGCACGGGAGCAAUCCUGGUGGCGAGUGGCGAACGGGUGAGUAAUAUAUCGGAACGUGCCCAGUCGUGGGGGAUAACGCAGCGAAAGCUGUGCUAAUACCGCAUACGAUCUACGGAUGAAAGCGGGGGAUCGCAAGACCUCGCGCGAUUGGAGCGGCCGAUAUCAGAUUGGCUAGUUGGGGAGGUAAAGGCUCACCAAGGCGACGAUCUGUAGCUGGUCUGAGAGGCAGACCAGCCACACUGGAAGUGGGGUACGGUCCAGACUCCUACGGGAGGCAGCAGUGGGGAAUUUUGGACAAUGGGCGAAAGCCUGAUCCAGCAAUGCCGCGUGCAGGAUGAAGGCCUUCGGGUUGUAAACUGCUUUUGUACGGAACGAAACGGUGAGCUCUAAUACAGUUUGCUAAUGACGGUACCGUAAGAAUAAGCACCGGCUAACUACGUGCCAGCCGCCGCCGUAA